UAGGGAAUAUUGCACAAUGGGGGAAACCCUGAUGCAGCGACGCCGCGUGAAGGAAGAAGUAUCUCGGUAUGUAAACUUCUAUCAGCAGGGAAGACAAUGACGGUACCUGACUAAGAAGCCCCGGCUAACUACGUGCCAGCAGCCGCGGUAAUACGUAGGGGGCAAGCGUUAUCCGGAUUUACUGGGUGUAAAGGGAGCGUAGACGGACUGGCAAGUCUGAUGUGAAAAACCCCGGGGGACUCAACCCCGGGGCACUGCAUUGGAAACUGUCAGUCUAGAGUGUCGGAGGGGUAAGCGGAAUUCCUAGUGUAGCGGUGAAAUGCGUAGAUAUUAGGAGGAACACCAGUGGCGAAGGCGGCUUACUGGACGGUAACUGACGUUGAGGCUCGAAAGCGUGGGGAGCAAACAGGAUUAGAUACCC
rnacentral:rRNA from 1 species